GACGAACGCUGGCGGCGUGCCUAAUACAUGCAAGUAGAACGCUGAAGGAGGAGCUUGCUUCUCUGGAUGAGUUGCGAACGGGUGAGUAACGCGUAGGUAACCUGCCUGUUAGCGGGGGAUAACUAUUGGAAACGAUAGCUAAUACCGCAUAAGAGUAGAUGUUGCAUGACAUUUGCUUAAAAGGUGCAAUUGUAUUACUACCAGAUGGACCUGCGUUGUAUUAGCUAGUUGGUGGGGUAACGGCUCACCAAGGCGACGAUACAUAGCCGACCUGAGAGGGUGAUCGGCCACACUGGGACUGAGACACGGCCCAGACUCCUACGGGAGGCAGCAGUAGGGAAUCUUCGGCAAUGGACGGAAGUCUGACCGAGCAACGCCGCGUGAGUGAAGAAGGUUUUCGGAUCGUAAAGCCCUGUUGUAAGAGAAGAACGAGUGUGAGAGUGGAAAGUUCACACUGUGACGGUAUCUUACCAGAAAGGGACGGCUAACUACGUG
rnacentral:rRNA from 1 species